rnacentral:rRNA from 1 species
GACGAACGCUGGCGGCGUGCUUAACACAUGCAAGUCGAACGGAAAGGCCCUGCUUUUGUGGGGUGCUCGAGUGGCGAACGGGUGAGUAACACGUGAGUAACCUGCCCUUGACCUUGGGAUAACUUCAGGAAACUGGGGCUAAUACCGGAUAGGAGCUCCUGCUGCAUGGUGGGGGUUGGAAAGUUUCGGCGGUUGGGGAUGGACUCGCGGCUUAUCAGCUUGUUGGUGGGGUAGUGGCUUACCAAGGCUUUGACGGGUAGCCGGCCUGAGAGGGUGACCGGCCACAUUGGGAUUGAGAUACGGCCCAGACUCCUACGGGAGGCAGCAGUGGGGAAUAUUGCACAAUGGGCGGAAGCCUGAUGCAGCAACGCCGCGUGCGGGAUGACGGCCUUCGGGUUGUAAACCGCUUUCGCCUGUGACGAAGCGUGAGUGACGGUAAUGGGUAAAGAAGCACCGGCUAACUACGUG